rnacentral:rRNA from 1 species
AGCCUGAUGCAGCCAUGCCGCGUGUAUGAAGAAGGCCUUCGGGUUGUAAAGUACUUUCAGCGGGGAGGAAGGGAGUAAAGUUAAUACCUUUGCUCAUUGACGUUACCCGCAGAAGAAGCACCGGCUAACUCCGUGCCAGCAGCCGCGGUAAUACGGAGGGUGCAAGCGUUAAUCGGAAUUACUGGGCGUAAAGCGCACGCAGGCGGUUUGUUAAGUCAGAUGUGAAAUCCCCGGGCUCAACCUGGGAACUGCAUCUGAUACUGGCAAGCUUGAGUCUCGUAGAGGGGGGUAGAAUUCCAGGUGUAGCGGUGAAAUGCGUAGAGAUCUGGAGGAAUACCGGUGGCGAAGGCGGCCCCCUGGACGAAGACUGACGCUCAGGUGCGAAAGCGUGGGGAGCAAACAGGAUUAGAUACCCC